AAAGAGGUUCGGAAGAGAGUAACGGAAAAAUAUGGCUAGAUGUUAUAGAUGAACACAAGAAAUAAAACAACAAAUGACCCUUUUAUUAAAGGUGUGAUUUUAUAAUCAAUUUAAGGUGUGGAAAAAAAAUAUAGAAACCGUUGUAGCAAUCUGCCUUGGUUUUUAAGAUAUGGUAGGCAAAAUGAAAUUAAAUUUCUGGUGCACCAAACACAACUUAAAGUUGAAAACUUCAUUUAAGAAAUUCUCUGAUAUUAUAUUAAUCUAAAACCACAAGCAACCAUGGAUUUUUUCAGCAAAUAAAUAUCCAAAGCAGCAGAAAAAAUAUAUCCAUCCAUAUUUAAAUCUCUAUUUUAAUUAUUUUAUAGUUACUUCAACAUUCUAGGCGGAAAAUUAAAAUUACAAGUAACCAUGGCUCUUUGCACCAAAUACAUAUCGAAAUACCAAGAAGAAUGGUAAAAAACGGUCAAAAGAUAUGAAUAAUAACUUAUAUUAAAAAUAAAUGUUUUAGAUAGUUUAUUAAUGAAUACCUCCACAACAAGAUUAAAUCUUAUAGUUAUA
rnacentral:sRNA from 1 species